GCGCGGGGUCGGCGCUCGCCCUGCCCGCCUCACCCCGCCCCGCUCCUCUCUUCCAGAUACGGGCUUGGAGUGCCCCGUGUGUAAGGAGGACUACGCGGUGGCCGAGCAGGUGCGGCAGUUACCCUGCAAUCACUUCUUCCACAGCAACUGCAUCGUGCCCUGGUUAGAGCUGCACGACACGUGUCCGGUGUGCAGGAAGAGCUUAAACGGCGAGGACUCGACCCGGCAAGCACAGAACCCCGAGGCCUCAGCGAGCAACAGCUUCAGCAGUGAAAGCCAGCUACACGACCGAUGGACUUUCUGACCUCGGGGGCUUCCUCGGGGGGCUCUGGCCGGAGCGUUCUUACGACAGAUGUACAUUGUGUUAUAAUUCCAGCAGAGUAGCAGGAAAUAGAGGGCAGGGGAGGGCACCCACCCCGUGGUCUCGCUGCGACGAGUGCUGUCUUUGUCCUGAAACGGUAAACUCGCAUCUCCGAGCCAAUCGCGGCUCCGUCGGAAUCGCCUCUUUAAGUCCCAAAUCCAGAGUCUUUUGAGUGGUUUGACUUGAUUUUCUACCUGUGAAACGCUGCCUCUGGAGGGGCCGGGCCGGGCAGGGAGGUUUGUGGCUCUCGCGGGGACCCUGCCCGGGCCCCGGGGUCUCGGCACAGCCUCCGUGCGCAGCGGCUCCGCCGCCGGCUCCUCUUGGUGACGGAGAAACGAGAAGAUUUCCCUCCUCUGGCCCCUUCCCGGACCCCUCGAAGCGUGUGGGUGGUUUUUUUUUUCCCCUCUUCUGUUGAAUUCAGGCGCUCACGCGUUGCUGCAGUCCUGGGGGGGGG